rnacentral:piRNA from 1 species
UCGUGGCGAUAGCUAUAUUGAUUCCAGAU